GACGAACGCUGGCGGCGUGCUUAACACAUGCAAGUCGAACGGAAAGGCCCCUUUGGGGGUACUCGAGUGGCGAACGGGUGCGUAACACGUGAGUAACCUGCCCUUGCCUUCGGGAUAACUUCAGGAAACUGGGGCUAAUACCGGAUAGGAAUCCUUGCUGCAUGGUGGGGGUUGGAAAGCUUCGGCGGGUUUGGCUGGACUCGCAGCUUAUCGGCUUGUUGGUGGGGUAGUGGCUUACCAAGGCUUUUACGGGUAGCCGCACUGAGAGGGCGACCGGCGACAUUGGGACUGAGGGACGGCCGAGAUACGGACGGGAGGCAGAAGGGGGGAAGAUUGACCAAGGGGCGGAGGGCUGAUGAAGCAAGGCCGCGGGCGGGAUGACGGCCUUAGGGUGGAAAAACGCAUGCAGCAGGGACGAAGCUUGUGGUGACGGUACCUGAAGAAGAAGCACCGGCUAACUACGUG
rnacentral:rRNA from 1 species